rnacentral:SRP_RNA from 1 species
GUCGGGCCCCGUGGUGGGUACUUGUGAUCCCAGUGUCUGGGGAGGCUCGCUGCACCGGCACAUCGCUUGAGCUCAGGAGUCCUGGGCUGUAGGAGGCUGCGCUGAGCAGGUGUCCGCGCUGAGGGAGACAUUGACGGGGUCUCGGAGGAUCCAGGGGUCCCCAGGUUGCCUAAGGAGGGGCGAACCGGCCCAGGUCGGGAAUGGAGCAGGUCAAAGCUCCCGUGUCUCUCAGUAGUGGGAUAGCGCCUCUGAACAGUCCAGAACUCUUGAGCUCAAGCGAUCCACCGGC